UUGUUAUGACAUUUCUACAGAUUGUUGUUAAUUUUUUUUUUACAUUUCAAUCCUCAGCAAUGAGCGGUAACAAGUUCACGAUAAAGACAUUGUCAAACAUCAGCCAGAUCCUUCUGGUUAGGUUUUAGUUACCUUAUGUAUUUUUCUAAUCAUGUAUGAGUUUUUUCCCCUGCAGACAUAAAAUUACAUCCUAGCAGGUCACUGAAGUCCAUCAGUAGAUUGAUUUAUUUCCAAAUUCCACGAUGUGUAUUAAUUUUUAGUCUACAAAAAACACAUGUGUGAAAUCUUCAAGAAAAGACAUUUUCAACCCUCUUCUGGAUGUUCAAGUUUUAAAAACUGUGUCCAUAAACAGAAUGUCAGCAAUCAUCCAGACGAUUAUGAAAUAACAUUCUUAACCCUCCUCAACCCAAGGGGCUCUUUAAUCAAGUCUAUAAAACAUGUGUGAAAUCUUCAAGAAAAGACAAUUUCAAGAUGAAGCCAGGAUUUCAACCCUCUUCUGGAUGUUCAAGUUUUAAAAAUUGUGAAAUGUCAUAACAUUCUUAACCUUCCUCAAGAGGCUCUUUAAUCAAGUCAACAACAGCACCUGUGUGAAAUCUUCAAGAAAAGACAUUUUCAAGCAGAAGCCAGGAUCUCAACAAACUUCUGGAUGUUCAAGAUUAAUAUUUGGAAAAUGUAAUAGUAUUUAUUUAUUUAUUUUUGUAAAGGGAGGGAAUUCAAGUAAAAUUUAGUUAUGUUUUAAAGGGGGAGGAUCUGGUGGGUGAUAUACAAUUAACUUAUUACACCUUUUGUUUUUCUUUUGUUUCACUGUCAUUGUUCUUUCUAUUAGAUGGAUGGUGGGGAUGCAGGGUGUGGUUUUUGUGGGUCAGGGGAGGGUUAUCCUGACGGAAGGUGGGUGUGGAAGAGGGGGCAGCUGGUAAUGGUGGCACACCAGGGAGAUGAACAGUUGGAGAGGUCUGCUCAAUAGAGCAGGCCGCCUGCCAACCUCCGCUGCGAGUGUGUUGACAUCUGUGGCCUGCUCGGCUGGCCCAUUGUUGAUUACCAGAUAAUGCCUGAACCCUAGCCUUGUCAGUCUGGAUAAUGUGUCAUACGUUUGUGAAUAUUGCAGUUUCCUUGUCUAUGUAAGCAGAGUGCCUGAUUGUAAACAGGUCGUUUCAUUAGUAAUGUGCAAGCUGUUUCACUUUUUUUUUCCUGUUACAAUGCACAAAUAGAAACAUAGGCUCUUUUAGGAAAGGGAAAGGAACCAGGGGCUUGUUGUGGUGUUAAUGUUGCUAACAUCAUCAAAGUAUCAAACUAAAUGUAAAACUUUUAACAAGUAAUAUUCUUGACUUGCAGACAUGAUGUAAUAUUUAAAUCCGGUAAGAACUGGACAUAAACUAAAGAAAAAAACCUUUGUCCUUUAAGGCCUUUUUCAAUAUAAAGAGUAGUUUAUUCUCUUUGGCAAUGUGGUAGCAAUUGUUCCAUUUACACUGUAUUUGUUAGUAAAAGAAUAGUGACCAGUGGCUCUCUAGCUUGUUUUAAUAGAAAGAAAAAUAGUCAACCUGUAAAAUUUAUAAGAAAUCAUAAUUUUUAAGAAAAGAAAUAUAUAAAUAUAAUAGUAAUGGUACUAAAUAGUAUAGACUGUCCACAACCUGACUUUUGAUAUUUCUGGCAUUAGGGGAGGAAUGCUAGAAACGUCUAAAGUUAAGUUUAAUCAGCUGUUUUCAUGGCCUUUAGUUGUGAAGGCAUUUAGGGAUGCUGAAGACAACUACAUUUUUCAGGCCGCACUGACACUAAACAGUCUAUAUUAUCAAACCCAUUUAAAAAAUGAAAAAUCCUUAAAAUGUUAUUAUUUAUUAUCGAGUUGUCCAUAACCUGACUUAAGAUAUGACUGCAUUAGGGCAUGAAUGUUGGAUAAAUCUUAAGUUUAACCUCUCUCACAUUUUUUCAUGGCCUCUAGUUGUGAAGGCAUUUAGGGAUGCUGAAGACAACUACAUAUUUGAGGCCGUACUGACACUGACCACUCUAUAUUAUCAUACCAAUUUUUAGAAAAAAGAAAAUUCCUUAAAAUAUAAAAAAAACCUCUACAAUUAUUUAUAACUGAGUUAUUACCUGAUUCAAGGUGUAUCUACAUUAGGGCAUGAAUGUUAGAUACAUCUAAAAUUAAGUUUAAUCUCUGUCAGCCGUUUUCAUUAUUCAGGCCACACUUGCACGGAAUUUAGAAAAAAGAAAAUUCCUUAAAAUAUAAAAAAAAAACCUCUACAAUUAUUUAUAACUGAGUUAUUACCUGAUUCAAGGUGUAUCUACAUUAGGGCAUGAAUGUUAGAUACAUCUUAAAUUAAGUUUAAUCUCUGUCAGCCGUUUUCAUUAUUCAGGCCACACUUGCACAGAAUUUAGAAAAAAGAAAAUUCCUUAAAAUAUAAAAAAAAACCUCUACAAUUAUUUAUAACUGAGUUAUUACCUGAUUCAAGGUGUAUCUACAUUAGGGCAUGAAUGUUAGAUACAUCUAAAAUUAACUUUAAUCUCUGUCAGCCGUUUUCAUUAUUCAGGCCACACUUGAACAGAAUUUCUAUAUUUAAAAAAAAAGGAAAUUCCUAAAGAUGUACAGUAAGACUUAUAAUUAUCAAUAGGUUAUAGUGAAUGUAUUUUCUACCAUUUCUCAGAAAUGACAAUCUGAGACAGCCCCAUAUGAUUUAGGAAAAUAUACAUUUAUUUUUUUUCCAAGUCAAGAAUUGUUUCUAACAAGCUGUGCUAAAAAAAUAGUGUUUUAUAAUUUCCUAUUUCCUUGUUAAGAUAUUUUAGUGUUCUUAAUUUGUCAAGCAGCUAUAACUAAAAAGUUUAUGGGGCACCUUUAGUAGAAGCAAAUGCUGAUUAGUCUCUGAACUAAUGAAGCGACCUUUCAUAAUUAUGCACUUUCAUCAAAGAUUUAGGAAAGAUAUGGCAAUAUUCACAACUUUAUGUGAUGCAUUAUCGACACUGACCUGUGCUAGGAAUUAGGGCUAACGUCUGGUAUGAUACAAUGGGUACAGCCGACAGGUCCACAGCUCUGUCAACACCAAGUCAGCGGAGGGGCAGGUUCCAACACAUCUACUGGUAAAGCCUAUACCAUAUAGAAACCAGCAUGCCCAUGUCGGGAUAGGUGGGGGUGUUAAGGGUGGGAUUGGGGAGGUGAGAGAGUUGUGUAUAUAUGUAGUCCUCUCUUUAUGUUAUGUGUAAUAAGUUAAUUCUUUUUACUGGUCGUAAAUAAUUAGGUAGUUUUACUUGAAAUCCUUCCCUAUUUUUUAUGCUAUAUUUUGUUAGAGGAGUCAUUUUGCAAAUCUGUCUAUGCAACUUUAGGGAAAGGAAUGUUUCAUAUAAAAAACACAAUUUUUUAAAUAUUAUCUCUAAAAGCAGUUCAUGUAUUUCAUAUAAUUUGUUUUCUACUGUAAGAGAGAAAGUGUAAGUUGAAUUUAUCAUCUAAAGAUUGAUAUGAGUGUAGUUUUAUUUGAACUCACUGUAAUGUGUUAGGAGUGCCAGGGAUGCAAUGUUUAUUUGAAUUAUUGUAAUGUUAGAGAAUGGCAGGAAUGAAAGUUACAUCUAUGCUAUUGUAAUACUAGGAGUGUCAGGAUUUCAUUUUCAAUUCAAAUUAUUGUAAUGUAAGAGAAUGACAUGAAUGAAAGUUUAAUUUAUUGUAAACUUUAUAGUUUCAUUGUCAUUUCAUUUUUCUCUUUAUCAAAUUAUAUAUAUAUAUAUAUAUAU